AACUUUUUCUUGUAUUUCGAGACGUCUUUUUGACUCUCGUUACACUUGUUCUGAAAAUGAAAACAACAAUGAGUUCGGUAAUCAACAAAAUUAUUAAAAUAUAUUAUAAAUACCUCCAAUGCUUUGAAUUUUUCCGACCAUACUGCAUCUGGUGGUGCUUCAACAGUCGUGCUCUCUGAGAUCGGCUCUUUUCCUUUCCAAUUUGGAGCAGCCCAUCUUUCGUUUGUUGUGCUCACCAUACUUGCAGCUUCUCCGAUUCCAAUUAUUCGAUUCUUCUUACUUUUGCCGAAAGUCUUGUUGACCGUCGCUUCGAUAAAUUGCUGUAUUAUAAAUAAAAAAUAAGAAAAACAAAAUAUAAUUAAAAUAAUCAAUGGAACUUACAAUUGGAGUCAUUGAUUCUGAUUCAGCCCACGAUUUUGCCUCUGGAGUUUUGAUAAAAUCCGUGGCUUCAAGCUGAAAGAAUAACAAAAUCAAACAAUGAAAAUAGAAAUUAGAAAAUAUAAAUAAUUUUUAAAAAAUACUUACAACUUUAUCGCUUCCUUUAUAAGUCAUUUGUAAAGUCUCUGACCAAGCUUCGACUUCACUCCUUCCUUGUUGCAUCUAUAUUCACAUAAAUCAUUAAUAUAUAAAAAAAAAUAUAAAAAAUAUAAAUAAAUUACCAAUUCAUUGUUAAAAAAUAUAAUUAACACAUUUAUAAUUACAUGCAAAUUAAUCAAUUACAAGUGUAAGACAAAAUAAUUAAUUUAAUUACUUAAUUUAUUAAAAACAGUUAAUUAUUUAUUUAUUUAUUUAUUAUAAAUUUAAUUAAAAACAGUAAAUAAAAUAUUUAAUUUCAUUAUUUUCUACAUUGUCUAAAAUCAGUAAUUAUUUACUUAAAUUAGAAACACUUAUUAUUUAAAUUAAAUAAAUCAUUAAAAUUAAAACAAAAUCUUCACAUUUCAUAAUUAUUAUUAAAUCAUGCAUUGAAAUUCUUAAAUAUCAAAAACACAACAUGAUAAAUUCUUAUUCAUAUAUUGAAAUCAAAACUAAAAUAGUAGACACAUGCAUCUUCAUCAUAAACUAUAACAAAACCACCUUGAAAUCAAAACAUCAAACCAUUCAAAUAAACAUAAACAUGCGAGCAACAAAUAGAUAAACAAAAUUCGAGCAACAAACCAAAAUAAGAGAUACAUAGAAAAAGAAAUAAAGAGAUAAUAGGAAAUUGAGAAACAAAAACCAAAACCCAAAUAGUCAAACCAAAACCAAAUUAACAAUACUCAAUCCUCAAUCAAUACAUUUACAAUCCUCAAUCCUCAAAUAUAGAUAAACCAUUUACAAUCCUCAAUAUUCCUCAAAGAAAUUACUGCCUAGGAACACAGCUACACAAGGCAUGUUUAACAUUUGUAUUUGUAUUUGUAUUUGAUUUAAUUUUAAUUUAUUCUAAUCUGUAUGGGUUAUUAUCAAAUAAUUUGUAUUACAAUCACACAAUCUAUAUCUUGAAACAAGCUUGUAUAUUUAUAGUAUAUGUUUGGACUCAUGAUGUUAGAGAGAUGAAAUUUCACUAAGAUUAAAAGAUGAUCUACAACUAAGUUUAAACAGAAGAUAAGACCAGAACUAUUAUUUGGUUCAUCGAUCCUCGCUUUUCAAUACAACAUAAGUAUCGCAGUCCACUAAAAAUAGAAAUGUCAAUCAUUCACAAACCCAUUCAUCAUUCACAAACCCAUUCACAAACCCAUUAAAUCAUUCACAAACCUAUUCAACAUUAUUGAAAUUCACAGCAAUUAUUCAAACCAAUUAAAUCAAACCAUCAUUCACAAACCAUCAUUAAGAAAUUACAAAUCAAAAAAUCAAAUGAAAAACGAAAAAAAUGAAAAAAAUGAAAAAUUGAAAUCCACAUACCUUCACAGAUCGAACCGGAGAGGGCGAUCACAGAGACGUCGAGAACCGGCGGGGAGACAGGCGGAGAGCAGCGGCGAUUUCUUCACCGAAAUCCUUUAUUCAAAUACAAUAUUCAACAUUAGCGAUUUAAACAUAUAUUCUAAAUAGAUCAAAAUGUAAAUUGAUUAAUUCCAGUAUAAAUUCCAGUAAAUCUAAACAUGGUGAAUAGAUCGAUUAAUUCCAGUAAAUAGAUCAAAAUGUAAACAUUACAUUGAAUAGAUUAAAAAUAGAAGAUACCCAAAGAUUAAAAAUAUAUGGACAUGGAAUAUAUUAAUACAAUCAAAGAUAAACAAUCAAAGAUACCCAAAAACAAUCAAAGAUACCCUAAAAAAACAAAAUCAAAAUCAAAAAUAUAAAACAAAUAUUAAAACAUAUAAGUAAUAUAUCUCACCAAAGCAAGAAGGGACCGACCAAAGGAAGAACGGACAGACCAAAGCAAGAACGGCCACCACCGGAGGCGAGAUCGGAGUCGGCGACGGCGGACGGAGUCGGAACAGAACGGCGGCACGGACGAAUCGACGGGAACAGAACGGCGGCAGCACUUCACUCCAAAGCAAGACAGAACAAACGCGUUCUGUCUGGAUUUGGGGUUUUUAAUAAACCCCAAAUCUUACAUGGCGGAAAUCCGCCAUGUAAGUACACUUAAGUGCCGCCAGCACUUAAGUGAAAGUCCGCCCAAUCGAAAUUUGGGCGGGCUUUUUCCGCCCGAGUCCCCGAUGACUUAAGAUGGCGGAUUUCCGCCAUCUUAAGUCAUUUUAAUCGGGUAAUCGGGCUGGAAAUUGGGGGAGAUUCGAAAUUUUGGGCGGGAUAGUUUAGAUGGCGGAUUUCCGUCAUCUAAACACCGCCAUCGAAAAAAAUUCCGAACCGCCGUCGAGCCAAAACGU
rnacentral:lncRNA from 1 species